UCCCCCCCAAGAUGUACAGUACUCUGUUAGUAACCACUGUCAGUUGUCACCAAGACCUCCCAAGCCACCUUUCAGCAGUGUUAUUUGGGGCUUGGGAGAGUUUUCCUAGGGGUUUCUUUCCUCUCUUUUCCUUUUCCUGAGCUCUUGGCUGAGCCCUAAGGUUACCACAGAAGGCUUGGAAUCUGCAGCUGUCACAAUAACUUUUGCAUUGUCUGCAAAUAUCCAUCUCCUUCAUAUCCUUCCACUCAGCCAACUGCCUGCCAUGUGCACUUUAUUGUUAUGGCCAGUGCUUAAGAAAGAUAAACAUGUGUCCUCUGCUCAAAGUAGGUGCUUGGUGAAGAGUGUACGAAGCUUAAAGAUGUCUGUUGGAAGAGACUGUACAACUCUACAGCAGAGUAGUUCAACUCCCUCUUACAAGUAAUGCAUUCAGAUUACAAUUUUCCUAGAGAGGAAAGAUGAAAAUAUA
rnacentral:lncRNA from 1 species